UGGGGAAUUUUGGACAAUGGGGGAAACCCUGAUCCAGCCAUCCCGCGUGUGCGAUGAAGGCCUUCGGGUUGUAAAGCACUUUUGGCAGGAAAGAAACGUCGCGGGUUAAUACCCCGCGAAACUGACGGUACCUGCAGAAUAAGCACCGGCUAACUACGUGCCAGCAGCCGCGGUAAUACGUAGGGUGCAAGCGUUAAUCGGAAUUACUGGGCGUAAAGCGUGCGCAGGCGGUUCGGAAAGAAAGAUGUGAAAUCCCCAGAGCUUAACUUUGGAACUGCAUUUUUAACUACCGGGCUAGAGUGUGUCAGAGGGAGGUGGAAUUCCGCGUGUAGCAGUGAAAUGCGUAGAUAUGCGGAGGAACACCGAUGGCGAAGGCAGCCUCCUGGGAUAACACUGACGCUCAUGCACGAAAGCGUGGGGAGCAAACAGGAUUAGAUACCCUGGUAGUCCACGCCCCUAAACGAUGUCAACUAGCUGUUGGGGGCCUUCGGGCCUUGGUAGCGCAGCUAACGCGUGAAGUUGACCGCCUGGGGAGU
rnacentral:rRNA from 1 species